GGUUGAUUAAUAAGAUAUUUACAUGCAAAUACAGCUUCAGCCUUUUUCUUUUUAGUAUAUUUACAUAUGGGUAGAGGUAUUUAUUACGGUUCAUAUCAAGGAUCAAGAAGUUUAACUUGAAACAUAGGUGUUGUAAUAUUUAUAGUUAUGAUAGUAACAGCUUUUUUAGGUUAUGUUUUACCUUUUGGUCAAAUGAGUUUAUGAGGUGCUACAGUUAUUACUAAUUUAUUAAGUGCUAUACCUUGAAUUGGUCAAGAUUUAGUAGAAUUUAUUUGAGGAG
rnacentral:snoRNA from 1 species